GUGGGGAAUAUUGGACAAUGGGCGCAAGCCUGAUCCAGCCAUGCCGCGUGAGUGAUGAAGGCCCUAGGGUUGUAAAGCUCUUUCACCGAUGAAGAUAAUGACGGUAGUCGGAGAAGAAGCCCCGGCUAACUUCGUGCCAGCAGCCGCGGUAAUACGAAGGGGGCUAGCGUUGUUCGGAAUUACUGGGCGUAAAGCGCACGUAGGCGGAUAUUUAAGUCAGGGGUGAAAUCCCGGGGCUCAACCCCGGAACUGCCUUUGAUACUGAGUAUCUCGAGUAUGGAAGAGGUGAGUGGAAUUCCGAGUGUAGAGGUGAAAUUCGUAGAUAUUCGGAGGAACACCAGUGGCGAAGGCGGCUCACUGGCUCGGUACUGACGCUGAGGUGCGAAAGCGUGGGGAGCAAACAGGAUUAGAAACCCCAGUAGUCC
rnacentral:rRNA from 1 species